CCUGUUUCUUUUCCCACAAAAUAGGUGAUUUACCAACUACACCUUUUCUAUUGAUCACGCCUGUAAAGACUUGUAACCAUCCUUCCCUCUGUCCUCAGUUCCCGUUUCUUCACACAGUGUUGUAACGAAAUGUCGCCAUCCUUCCCUCUGUCCUCAGUUCCUGUUUCUUCACACAGUGUUGUAACGAAAUGUCACCAUUCUUCCCUCCGUCCUCAUUUCCUGUUUCUUCACACAGUGUUGUAACGAAAUGUCGCCAUCCUUCCCUCUGUCCUCAGUUCCAGUGCCAGCGUGUGGGUCAGACAGUGUGGAGCCACUAGAGGACGUCUGUGUCCUGACCACACAGAGACAGAGCUUCAUGCUGGAGAGAAAAAAGUCACUGAGGGGACAGAUCACCUGUGGCCAGUACAUGUACUGUCAUUCCAGGACAUCACCUAUCACUUCAGAGUGGCCAAGUCUAGUGAAGUGAGGUGUGGCGUAGAGGAGGAGAAUGUAUCCACCACCACCACACCACCAUACUCUGACUUCUACUUCCUCAUUCAAAGCAGCUGCGCAUGAGAGGAGAGGGAACUAAGCAUGCAAACUAGUGUGCUUGCUUUGAAUCUAGCCUAUCCCCUGACUGACUCAGGGUUUCUUAAAGGGAUAGUUGGGAGGCCCUUUUAUCUACUUCCCCAGAGUCAGAUGAACUCGUGGAUACCAAUUUUUAUAUCUCUGCGUGCAGUAUGAAGAAAGUUAGAGGUAGUUUUUCAAGCCAAUGCUAACUAGCGUUAGCACUAUGAAUGGAAGUCUACAGGAAAAAUUGCGCUUACGCUAGUUAGCAACUUUCUUCAUACUGCACGCAGAGACAUAAAACUGGUAUCCACGAGUUCAUCUGACUCUGGGGAAGUAGAUAGAAUCUCAACUAUCCCUUUAACUACUACACCUCCUAUCCCACCUCUCUCUCUCUCUCUCUCUCUCUCUCUCUCUCUCUCUCUCUCUCUCUCGCUCUCUCUCUCCUACCCAUCCUGUCCUGUAUAGAAACAUAUCCACCAAACUACAGCUCCUAUGCACUUCAUUAUAUGAAACCUAAGUUUAUCAUAAUGCUAUAGUGUUAUAUUAUAGCUUAUUAAUCAUUUUGUAUUUUUUCCAAUUUAUAAUAUCCGUUUUCCUGAACUUGUUUUGUGUCUACUGUACACUCUAACCAUUCCUUAUGACUGAAAACAAAAACCCUGUUUUGAAUGUAUGGUUUAAUACAUUUGGUUCUAGUGAGAAUAAUUAUAGGAGAGUCAAAUUCACAGUUGACUAACAUUCCGUUCUGGGCUGCUGUAUGUCUUGACUUCCUGUCUGGAUCCUCCCAGAUGGCACCAUAGUCAGUGGAUUUGGAUAUACUACUGUAGAAGUUU
rnacentral:lncRNA from 1 species